UGCUGUUCGUGAUAUGAGACAGACAGUUGC
rnacentral:piRNA from 1 species